UGGGUGCUGUACUCUUGGAUCGUACAGAAACAAUCGAUACCCCACGAGAAGCUAAGGAUUGAUGGCAGCCUCCUUGUGGAGACCCCACCAUCUCAUCUUGGCUCGCCUGGUCAGAAAGAGCGUCAUCUCAUCUGUCAGCUUCUGAGCUAUAGAUUGCCUGUCCUUGGAUGGCAGCCAUCUCAUUUAUCUCCGAUCAACCUUAACCAGUAAACAACCACCGCUAUUGUCCAGUCACAUGGAACUUCGUAGAAAGUCACCACUACACAAUUGAUGAUGGAUUAGGCUUUUUCCAGUUGGAUGAGCUGUUGUUUCAGGGAUAAGCAGUGGAAAGAUUAUCCGUGUAGGGGUGACAACUCGUAGCUCAUCCUGCAACGGCGGUUGGGGCGGCUGAAAUGGUGGUGCUGUCAGCACAGAUAUGUCAUGUACACUCAAGAAGAUUUUUUAUCGGGUGAAACAAGAGGCAAGCCCCAUUGGCUGUAGAAGAGGUUGGCUGAUUGGCCGUCUUGUUUGGCACAGGAAAAAA